CGUGCAUUAAAGAAAAUUCCGUAAGAUCCGGAGGAGCCGGAGAUGCCGAAUAAAUAUUUCGAUACGUUCAACUGCGAUAUAUCUACACCGUGUAUACCGAUGUAGAUUGAAUGCGGUACGAUCGCUGAAACCUCCCCGGUCAUGGAUCCCCCGGGAAUUUGGAACUAAAUGCGAAUCCGAAAGACCGCGCCAUUCGCGCAACGAUCAUAAAUAUAUCGGCCAGACUGUGAACAAAGUGUCGAAAUGCAAAGGGCGACCCUGCUUUCCGCAGGUAAAUGUCGAGCAUGCGUGCAUACGCGGCUAAAUGUUUGCUGGCAAGCCAGUUGCGCUCACAAUCGUGCCGCCAAAAUGUAGAAUCGUGGCGCAUACGAGCGCAUUUAGUGCGUGAUGUGAAUACCAACGAGCGUGCGCGUGCGUGUGUAUGUGUGUGUACAUGUGUACGUCUACGUCGCACGCGUGACCGUACUGAUCGAUGAUUCCGUGGAAAUUCCUCUGCACCUUGCGAAAAUGGAGUGAGUUCACGGGGAACUCCCCUGCUUAUGGAAAAUAGGAGCACGCGUGCGCGCGAACACGAUUGCACGCCUCAUUAGUGGGUAAAGUAAAGACGAGAGUGGCCGGCCGCUGGAGCUGCCGCUCCGAGCUUAAAAAUCAAUUCAAUUACGCAAAGUGUGUCAAACGCUUUCUCAAAUAGCAGCCGUACAGAGCACCGAGAAAGACACUUCCGUCGUGAAACAUUAAAGUCGCGCUCGUGCGACACAAGGUAUGUAAAAUACGCGAGUGCUCGAUACGUAUCGCUCGCCUAUUUCGUAAGUAACGCGACCCAAUUUGCGAAAGCCUCAUUAAAAUAAAUUAGUUUGCACCAGUUUGUGUCUGGCGCUGGUGUCUUAUGCGUAUUAGCAAUCACGGAUAUCGCGUUUAAGUUAUUAUCCGACGGAUGAUUCUCUCGUGUGUGAAUAUUACAGCGCAAGAAACUGGAGCAAUCAAUGUCGCGCCGUGAAAGAAGAAAAGUGAUAUCGCGUCCUCGGAUAUAGGACGCUUGUCCUUCCAAUCCCGAGCUCAUAAAAUGAUGCCGAUUGUUCCAGUUCCAACAUAUUGAUUCAGCAGUUGCUUUUCGCACGCAAAUUCCAAAAAAUCAGACCUUGAACUACAGCUUCAGGUCUACUUCUUACUUAUGCAAUCAGUGAUUUAACACGCACUUCAAAGCAAGCAAAAAUAAAAUUUGCUUUUCGCGCGACAGAGUAGAUUCUAGAUAGAAUCGGAAGAUGAAUGCACGUAACAUGAUAAGUGUGCAAAAAUAAGAUGUCUCUACCGCCAGAAAUCUCACUUUUAACUAAUUCUGAUUUUCCUGUUUUGGACUCGAUUUCUUCUGGAAAUCGAUAAUCCAAUUUCGACGAAAACACAAACCACUACAUCUUCGACAAGGAGCUUCAAACUCGAAGCGUGGGGAUUCCUCAUCCCCGAAGACCACGACCAUCUGGUUACGCUGGUACAUUACGGGUUAAUGCCGGAGAGUUAGUUAGGAUGUUAAUUAGUAUAGAAUGGACCCGUUGUGGAGCAGGAACAUGCGAUACCCGCUAUACUUUGGAUGAAGUGCGCAAAGAGCAACGACCGCAAUGAUGUUGUCCUCGUGGAUCGAUCCAGAGACAUUUAACUCUAAAAGUGAGGACACCGUCAUGACGUCCAAUAUAUAACGUCAAUUAUAUUCAAUUGCAUAUUUCUAAUAAUGUUUUAGCAAAUUCAAAACCUUAAAAUCGUGAUAACGAAUUAAUCGUUCAACAAUACACACAAUUUUCUCAAUUAAAACCUAAAGCUUUUUAUUGAAUGGAGCAAGAAUAUGAAGCAAAAACUUAUUUUUCUGAAUGAUGUAAAAAGCGUCAUGUAUGCGUCGUUAUAAGCGUUCAUUACGCAAUCGCUGCCAUUACCACGAGCGACACUUCCUGACGCCUUUCACUCUCAUGAAGAAAUUUCACCUCGUUUCAACCCGAGCUACUCGCGAUUUAACAGCACACACCGGUACCGUGGUCGCAAAAACGUUCAUGCGCGUUUAACGGCGAAUUAACGGCGAAUUUUUGCGAGGAUGUACGAGAAGACAGACGUUGAAUCACUGUAGGAGACCCUUAAGCGGUCUCAGAGGUCGUUAACGACGUGAAACAGCCUCGAUGCGCCCAAGAACUCGGCGCUGCAUUAUUCACUUUGAGCCUCUCAGGAUCAGAUUUUCGCCGAAUAAAAGGCGGCAAUUAACGUCCAUGCGAUUCCCACAUGGUAGAAAAAUAUGGCAUGCUCGAAAUAAUUCAGAUAUCGCGAUAAGAAUGAGGAUUUUAGAUCCUUUACUGUCUCUGACGAAGAAACAGGUCAUCAAUAAGCAGUUUGUACAUGCAUACAAACCAGAAUCAGAGCCAAUCGAAAUUUUCACAUGAUCCACAGCAGAUACGGUCUCUGCAAACACUCGAAAAA